rnacentral:rRNA from 1 species
UUAGAAUUCUAUUUUAGAUUUAAAAAAUUUAGUGGAGUGUAAAAAAGUAUUGAGUUGAUAUAGUUCUGUGGAGUAAAUGUCGUUAAGGGAUAGAGUUAAUAGUACUGUGAGGGAAUGGUUGUAGAAUUAAGGAUAGAAAAAAUUAAAUUUUGUACCUUUUGUAUCAGGGUUUAUUAAAUUGUGGGAGUGUUUAUUGUUUUCCCGAAACAUUAAGAUUUAUUUUUUUGAAUUAGGCACAGUUAGAAAACUGUGGCGUAACAGUAAGAUAGAAGUGAGAUGUUAGUCGAUUAGUGUUUAUCUGGUUCUUUAAGAAAAAAGUUUAAUUUUCUCUUAAAUUAUUAUUGUUUUUAAGGGAUAAGUUAAGGGGCAUGAGCUUUUUAAUUUCAUUGGGUAAUAUUAAGCUUAUUAGUUUGAUUAUUGGGACUAGGCUUGAGAUUGGCCAUGAUAGGAGUGUGUUAUAAUUUACGUUGGUAAAAAUGUAUUUUUAUUAGCUUGUUGUGUGUAUUAGGGAAACUUUUUUAAUUUAAUAUAGAGUAUUAUAAUGAUAUAAUAAGUAGUUUAUUGUUGUUGAUGAGUUUAUUUAAUUAAGAAUUGAGGUUUUAAUUAAAAAUUGUAUUAAUUAAGGAAUUCGGCAAAUUUUCUUCUUUUGCCUGUUUAUCAAAAACAUGUCCUCAUGUUAAGUGUUUGAGGUCUGGCCUGCCCACUGAAGGAGUUUUAAAUGGCCGCGGUAUAUUAACCGUGCGAAGGUAGCAUAGUCAAUAGUCUUUUAAUUGAAGGCUUGAAUGAAAGGUUGGACAUAAGGAAGGCUGUCUUUAUUGAUCCGAGUGAAUUUGACUUUUGUGUGAAAAGUCAUAAAUGAUUUAAGGGGACGAUAAGACCCUAUAAAACUUGAUAGUUAGUUUGGGCUUUACGAUUUUAGAGUUAAUGUAAGGUUAAGGUUAUAUACUAUUGUGCUGGGGCGGCAUGAAUAAAAUCUGUAACUGUUCUUAAAUAUAUAAUGGUUAUUUCUAGAGUUUGAGCCUGAAUUUUAGGUUAAAAGAUUAAGUUACUUUAGGGAUAACAGCGUUAUUUCUUUUGAGAGUUCAAAUCGACAAAGAUAUUUGCGACCUCGAUGUUGAAUUAAAGCUUUCUCCGGGAGUAGAAGUUCGGAAGGUAGGUCUGUUCGACCUUUAAAGUUUUACAUGAUUUGAGUUCAAACCGGUGUGAGCCAGGUUGGUUUCUAUCUUUUGAUUUUUAAAAAAUUACUUUAGUACGAAAGGAUUUGGUAGUUGUAAAAUUUAUGCUAAUAAAGGGUAAGGUUAAUUU